AUUCUUUUUUUUACUGACAAACAUUAUCAAGAUUACAAUUAUUAUUAUUACUAUUAUUAUCAUUAUUACGAUUAUUAUUAUUUUUACUGUUAUUAUUAUCAAAGGUUGUAAAGACUGACAGACAGACAGACAGACAGACAGACACAGACAAAAGAAAGAUAGAUAGAGGUGUGUGUCACUUUUGCCCGCAUACCCACUACUGUCUGAAGGGGAAAUCAUACGGAAAGCCAAAAUGAGAAUAUAAACUUGAGGUUGACAAAAAAAUGAAAAUAAGCGUUGAUAUAAUACAGGAUCCUCACCUCUGGCAGGGAGCAGAAAAGGGUGUAUUAAGAUUUCGGUCAGUUAAAAGAAUUAUUGCUUUCGUAAUAAAAACUUAUCCAACAAAUAAAGGUACUUGGUCUAUUCUUAUUCCGAAGGAUCGUAUAUUGAUUAACGGUUGUUAUAAAGUUAACUGCUCCAGGAAUUGAAGAUACACCAAGGAGUGGACGAGUUAACGAGGGAGCGAGAACGAGCGGUACAAGUCAUAAAUUAAUAAUAAUGAUAACAAAAACGAUAAUAUUUAAUCCAUGAAGUAAAACACAUCAACACACACACACACACACACACACACACACACACAUUGUCAUCGAUCUAUCUCAGUGCGCAUACCUGUCCCAUCACCACGAGUGCAUUGUGUUUAGUGGUCACCUGCGAUAAUUAGGACAGCCACGCGCGCAGGGUCACGUGACGCACCUAUUACUGAGGGCGGCCGCGGGCACAGGAGGCGAGUGCUCUUCCUUGCCUUCAUUCCACUUUGUGACGCAUUCACUGACUGUGCGUGAGAGUGGCGGGGUGCAGAGGUGCGUGAAGGAGUGUUGCACCACCCGUAGCAGCUUCAUAUAACUAAGGUGCCUCCUUACUACCUAUAGACUGACUAACCACCAUCUUGACUACCACCACAGCAACCACUAUUACUACUACAACUACCACCACCACCAACAUUGCUCGCCACCACAAUUUGUCUGCCACAACCACAAGUGCGUCCUACCACAAUUUAAAUGCGAUACUUAUGACCACUGUGGUGACGGUAGUGAUGAAAUGGAUUGUGGUAGUAGUAAUGGUGGUGGUGGUAUUGUUGUUGUUGUUGUUGGUGGUGGUGGUGGUGGUGAUGGUGGUGGUGUAUGGAAAGUCAUGCUGGUAGGCGAAAAACAUGACUACAGUGGAAAUGUUAUGAUUCGCAUCAUCAGCAACAACAACAACAACAACAACAACAACAACAACAACAACAAUGAUGGCAGUAGUAGCAGUAGUAGUGAAUGGCCAUACAUAUUAUGAUGACUAUUUUGACUAUCAGGAGGCCGAUGUUGUGUGUCGGACUAUCGGUCUAAAAGGAGCCGUAAAAUUUACUAGGAAUAACUAUUUCGGUGAUAGUAAUAGUGUUCUACAAGGCAGCAUCAACCUCCUGACAGUCCUUCAUACAUCUGUCACCACUUGUGCGUACAUUUCUCUACCUAUAACGCUAUCUCCUACACCUCUCCCAGUUGGAUAGCCACGAUGGGCAAUUCUACAAGGCAGCAUAAACUUCAUGAAGGUAUGUCGUGGUGGAAGAGUUGGUAGCCCUGCACAUGGCCAUCCGAGAAUUACGUCACAGGUGGGCACAAGCCGCAGUCAUUCGCCGGCGCCUCCCUACAGUCUCAGGUAGCAGCGGCGAUGCGUAGUGCUGUUGCUUUGUAUUGAGUGAGCGUGAAAGAACCCUCGUGACGAUAUAUGGUGAUGGACGUGUGGGCCUUUACGUUGUGGAAACAGAAGUUGAGGGGCGGGGAACACUUAAUGGGUGGAUGACCAUCAUCAGGACCGCCAUUCCACCGCAUUCAUGGUCAUCCUACCCGCGCUCAUCCAGUCACGUCCCCAUAGUGCAGCGCCCCUCAUCUGUAUGUAUGCUCAAGAGACACGGAAAAAUGAACACUCGUGUCUCUGUGAAAUAUUGUGCGCCAUAAAGUCUCUUGUCCUCUA